CCAACGGCCCUUUUAAGGGCCACCACAUAAUACGAAGAGCUUAAAUU
rfam:Orchesella cincta Ocin01_Sc1718, whole genome shotgun sequence.